CUGUGCCGCAUCUCCAGCAUUCUCUUGGGAUUGAUUUGUGUACGUGCCGUAGGACGUCCAGGGUCCUGUACCAAUGUGUCAGUAUCUUAUAAUUGCAUUUUUGAAAUUUAGUGCUUAUUGAUCCAUUGUGCGUCAACUGGAAGAUAUUUCCCCAUUCGAGGUCAGUUAGUUCAACCUCUGUCUCUCUUUCCCAUCGCUCUGUGAAGCCUAGAGGGCUCUUAUCCCCAUUGUUCUGUAGUGUGGUGUAUAGGGUCGAUACGCCAUGUGCGAG